rnacentral:rRNA from 1 species
GUGGGGAAUCUUGCGCAAUGGACGAAAGUCUGACGCAGCCACGCCGCGUGAGUGAAGAAGGCCUUCGGGUUGUAAAGCUCUGUCGCCCGGGACGAAAAGUAGAUUGGUGAAUAGCCAGUUUAUGUGACGGUACCGGGAAAGGAAGCACCGGCUAACUCCGUGCCAGCAGCCGCGGUAAUACGGAGGGUGCAAGCGUUGCUCGGAAUUAUUGGGCGUAAAGGGUAGGUAGGUGGUCUCAUUUGUCUGGGGUGAAAGCCUUAAGCUUAACUUAAGAAGUGCCCCAGAAACGGUGAGACUAGAGUCUUGGAGAGGGUCGUGGAAUUCCCGGUGUAGCGGUGAAAUGCGUAGAGAUCGGGAGGAACACCAGAGGCGAAGGCGGCGACCUGGACAAGUACUGACACUCAACUACGAAAGCGUGGGGAGCAAACAGG